rnacentral:lncRNA from 1 species
CAAGAGCUGAGGACCCAACCCAGAGCCUUGUGCUUGCUUAUUUUGAUUGCCCUUUAGCUUUCUAGUUAAACUGCUACUACAUUCUGAGAGUUUAACAUGGAGAGACAGGAGGGGUGGCUGGGUCCACACACAAUGAAUCAGGACACAGUACUGGGGCAUGGAGACCAGCCAAGGAGCAGAAUGAAGAUGGAAGAGUAAACUACAGGAGAAACCAGGUCAAGGCCAUGGCCUUAGGAAGGCUCUCCCAAUCUGAGCUUCCCAGGAGGUUCCUCUGCAGAUCUCUCUCUGGAGUCACCCAUACAGAAUAGGACUUAGCAAGAACUUACAGAACAACUGAGCAAGGAAGACAUUAGUCUUGCCAAGGACAAGACUCCUGAAGUCCCCAUCAUGGUGAAUAUCAGACAGAGCCCGCUGUUUCAGGGACCCUCACAGGCCUCCUGGGAAGAGCUUAGAAGGAAAUAACACCUAAUAUCGCCCCCCCCCUACCCACUUCUCUACCACUGUCCCAAGGCUCUGAACUUUGGGGGCAGUGAACAUUUUAGCGGUGGCAGAGUCUCCUUUCUGCUUAAAAUGUCUAUCCCCCAAGUCACUGCCUCCAGAAAGUCUUCCCUGAUUGACUUAGGUAGUAAGCUUUGUACUGGGACCUUGGCUCUAUUGUUACCACAUAAUUUGCCCUCUGUGAAAACCUCUGUGAAAAUCUGUGUACCUAUUACCUGACCAAACUGCAAAGUCCCCGAGACAUGGAGAGACACUGAUCUUUGAGACCCA